UUUCACAGCUAUGGGGUGUCAGGCUCAGCCCAGAGCUCAUCUCUGAGCUGCAGUUAUGUGACAGACCCUUGCCCUCCUCAGCAGAGCGUUUCAGGAUUUGCACUGGAGCCAGCAGGGAAUGGCAGAGGUAACAGAUGGGUGACAGGGCACUGGGUGAUCAGUCAGAGUGGUGGAGCAUCACUUCCUGGAGCAAUUGUUGUAUCUCAUCUUCUGUAGACAUUUUAAGAGGCAGAGUGAAUAAUUUCAUAUCACUGCUGUAGCAGAGAGGGAAAUUGCCCUGUUCCCCUCACUGCCAGUGCAGGGAGUGAUGAAGAACCUGGAGCAGCAUAAAAAAUAUUCUCUGUGGGAAAAUAUUGUGAAGGAUAGACACUUGUCACCACCACUGCAGUAACAGCAUCCUCUGUUUGACCAACAGCUCAGCAGUGCCUUGGCAAUCCAAGUGUUUGAGGAAUGCUGCAGGAGUUAUUUCAUUGCUUUCUUUGUCCAGACUUUGCCCAUGGACCAGCAUGUUCCAGGUGUUGAGCAAAUACUCAACAGCUCCACUCAGGUCCCUGCAGAGUUGUCAGGCAUCAUCAGACUUGCACAACCUCAUGCCAGCUGAUUGGGGUCACCCACUCACAGUGCUGGUCCAAGAGCAGGGAAUCCCACUGCUGACAUUGGAAUGAAUCAAACUCUUCAUCAGUUUCAAGCAGUAAACAAAAUAUGUGGUCAAGAGGAGCUAAUGGACAAGUAGCUGCUUCUAGGAAGGAUUUGUGUUUUGGUGUGCUUUGAAAUGUUCUUCAUUUGAAACACUGAGAACUGCAUAGAAAACUACUACUUUGUCCUCAGCUGGAAGUUGGGAUUACUUCCUAUGCCAAACCACCCUUUAGGCAAUCCUUGUCAGGAUUUGGGCAGUGUAAGACCACAGCUGUCUUGGUGGUGUCUCAUGUGAGUCCUUGUGGCAAGGCUGCACAGCAGCCCUGGCAAGCUGUCAUCUGGAGCAGAAGUGACAAACAGCAGUUGGCACUGUGAAUUCAGCACCAUGGGCCAAACUCUGCCCAGCCAAGGGGAAAGUUUUGUGCUCCCUCAGAGCAGCCAGAAACCAUGUCAGGAAUUUGAGCUGAUCUGAGACAGGAAGCCAUCAGAUCUGCUGGGGUCUGAGAAAUCUGCUUGGGGGGACUGGUGUGGGAGCUCCCACUGGCCAAAUCCAAAAUUGCUCCUGAGAAUGCACACACACACAUAUAUGUAUACAGAUAUAUAAGAAAUCUGUGGACAUGCCAGCUGCAGGUGAGUGAGGCCUUUGUUUGGGGCUGGAGGAAAGAUUUCUUUCUUCAUAUUAAAGCAAAAAAUUAUCUAACAAGUGACUUAACAAGAAUGAUAGAAGGAUUAAAGCACAGAGGGGUUUGAGUGCAUGCAGGACAGCUGUCAAGUUUAGAGAGGGGAUUAGCAGUUCAUUUGAGAGAUACAUUAGGAAAGGGCUUACUCUGGGGGGCUGUGAGCUCCCCUGAGGCUGGGGAGGAUUUACUGGCUCUAAGUGUUGAUGUAUUGUGCACGUUAUGAAGCUUGCCAUCCCAGCAGCUUUGAUAUGUUCCAGCUUUUCUUUAAAACCCCUGUGGAUUUUAAAGUGGCUUUCAUUUAACGUGGGAGAUGUUGACAAGCUCCCCCAGGAGGCUGGCAAGUUCUCGGAAGGGUCUUUUAAAACAUUAGCUUCACCACCACUUCCAGAAGACUUUUCCCCCUUUUGGAAUAUCAAGGAGUGGUUUGUUUCUGACAGCACUAAAAAUACAUGAGGUGUCUGCUGACACAGGGAAGAUAUGCCCUGUGCUGCUUGGACUCCCAGCCUGGUGUUCAGGAAUCCUCUCUAAAGCUCUUGGCUUAGCAGAUGAUGCUUGUGUUUGGAAAGCUGAAGUUUGCAGCACAGAGCAAUCCUGCUGAGAAGAUUGGAAGCAGCUGGUGGGGCUGACAUGGCAUUCAAAAAACUGGAAAGAGCUGAGCUCAGAAAAUGAAAGGUGCCUCCAAGAAUAUAUCAUUGUCAUCAAGUAAGUAAUGUGCUCAUCACAGCAGAAAGUUAUAUGGGCAAGCUAAACAUGGCUCUGCUUAACUGUUGAGUGCUCAAAUUUCCAGCAAGAUGCCAUCAUUUCCCCUAUUUUGUUUUAUCUAUAGCAAUGGCACCUUGAACCAAGAGAAUUGAAGCAGAGCAUUCAGCAGGGGCUGGCAGCAAAGAGGAGGAGAAGAGGAUUCAUCCUCUGGGGGCUGACAGUGCAGAGAGAAGAGAAACUGAAUUUCCUCUCCCCCCAAAAAAGUUUGUCAGCUGAAGGAGGCAAAGUGCUUCCUGAACACAGACUUUUAAAAAUCUUCAGAGCACUGCUGAAAGUGCUGGAAAUAGUAGCUGUAAAAAAAAAAAAAAAAAAAAAAUCCAUUAAAAGACUAUUUUGCAGUCAAAAAAAUGUAUCUUAUCUAAUUAUUGUGGCUGAUAACAGUAGACACUAUCAGCUCUUCCAUCAUCUCUUGCAAAUGCAUGGAAUUUAAAGGAGAAUGCAAAGGUCAGACAACCAGCCAGGGUUUUGACUUGCCCAUCCAAACUACUGCAGAACACAAAUAAAGCCAAGAGCCACAUGUUUAUCAGCAGAACCAUAUUUGUCCUGAGGAUAUACUGACUAAUGGAGAGGGAUGUCAAAGUGGCACAGAAAUUCAUAUAUACUGUUUAUGAGAAAAUCAAAUGGUUUUUAUGAAAAAUGAAAGGGUCAUGGAAGGGGAAGGCCAAGUCAAUGCAUUGGGAAAAAUCAGAGGUUUUCUCUUUUGGACAAGUCUCUGGAUUCAUUGAAAAGAAUAUUUCAAAUAAAACUUUGGCUAGACAUUCUACAUUCCUUUAUGUAUUCCUGCUCUCCAAAAAUCACUGCUCCAGGAUAUCCUUGAGAGAGCUGAAUGCUUGCAUGAGGAUUUAUUGCUUUUAGUUUCUGAAUCUGUUCUGAACUGAAUUAGCAAAUACUAGUGCAUAUUUCUAAUAGCAACAAGAAUUCCAGCAGAAUUUCUGAGGUCUGUCUGGCUGAUUAAAUCCAGCAAAGUCUCCUGCUAAGCUCCUUGGCAGAGCCAGCCAAAUUCAAGGACUUUUAGACAAUCACAAAUUCUGUUCUGAAGAUUUUUUAUUGUGUGAAAUUUUACCAAGCAGAAGAAAUAUGUACCAGUUGCAAUGAUCCGUAUAAAUGUCAUGCACACAUGCAAGACAGUAGAUAAGUUCCUGAUAUAUUAAUUUCACAUGGUGGGGAUAAUAGCAUUUCUCCUGACAGCUCAAUUAAAUUUGUAAAAAAUUCCUAGCAAAAAACACUCAUUGCAUUUUCUGUCAAACUGAUAAGAACAAUUUAGCUGAAAGAGAAAAGCAAUCCAAAAAAUCAGGCUUGCACUUGGAAAUUGCUUGUGAGAAUUUACACUUGUUUUCUGUUUUGUUAUUUGGUAAAAGGAAUAACCAGAG